GCAAUGCGCUGCUAUACAUGCAGUCGAGCGAACGGACGAGAAGCUUGCUUCUCUGAUGUUAGCGGCGGACGGGUGAGUAACACGUGGAUAACCUACCUAUAAGACUGGGAUAACUUCGGGAAACCGGAGCUAAUACCGGAUAAUAUUUUGAACCGCAUGGUUCAAAAGUGAAAGACGGUCUUGCUGUCACUUAUAGAUGGAUCCGCGCUGCAUUAGCUAGUUGGUAAGGUAACGGCUUACCAAGGCAACGAUGCAUAGCCGACCUGAGAGGGUGAUCGGCCACACUGGAACUGAGACACGGUCCAGACUCCUACGGGAGGCAGCAGUAGGGAAUCUUCCGCAAUGGGCGAAAGCCUGACGGAGCAACGCCGCGUGAGUGAUGAAGGUCUUCGGAUCGUAAAACUCUGUUAUUAGGGAAGAACAUAUGUGUAAGUAACUGUGCACAUCUUGACGGUACCUAAUCAGAAAGCCACGGCUAACUACGUGCCAGCAGCCGCGGUAAUACGUAGGUGGCAAGCGUUAUCCGGAAUUAUUGGGCGUAAAGCGCGCGUAGGCGGUUUUUUAAGUCUGAUGUGAAAGCCCACGGCUCAACCGUGGAGGGUCAUUGGAAACUGGAAAACUUGAGUGCAGAAGAGGAAAGUGGAAUUCCAUGUGUAGCGGUGAAAUGCGCAGAGAUAUGGAGGAACACCAGUGGCGAAGGCGACUUUCUGGUCUGUAACUGACGCUGAUGUGCGAAAGCGUGGGGAUCAAACAGGAUUAGAUACCCUGGUAGUCCACGCCGUAAACGAUGAGUGCUAAGUGUUAGGGGGUUUCCGCCCCUUAGUGCUGCAGCUAACGCAUUAAGCACUCCGCCUGGGGAGUACGACCGCAAGGUUGAAACUCAAAGGAAUUGACGGGGACCCGCACAAGCGGUGGAGCAUGUGGUUUAAUUCGAAGCAACGCGGAGAACCUUACCAAAUCUUGACAUCCUUUGACAACUCUUGAGAUAGAGCCUUCCCCUUCGGGGGACAAAUGACAGGGGUGCAGGGUGUCGUCACCUCCGUCCGGGGAAGUUGGGGUUAGUCCGCCACAAGGGCACCCUUAACUUAUUGCCCCCCUAAAUGGGGCGCUAAUUUACUGCCGUGACGACCCCAGAAGGGGGGGGUGAGUCAAAUAUAAGCCCCUUUAUUUGGGUACCCCCGCUCCAUGGAAAAUAAAGGAGGGAACCCGGGCAGCAAUCCUAAUU
rnacentral:rRNA from 1 species